rnacentral:misc_RNA from 1 species
GCAAACUUGGUCAUUUAGAGGAAGUAAAAGUCAUAACAAGGUUUCUGUAGGUGAACCUGCAGAAGGAUCAUUAGGGAAUUACAAAACCGGCUUGCCCCUCUCGAGGGUGCUCGCCGUAAUUUCUAUCCACAAAACACCGUGAACCCUCGAAAGAGGCGUAAUUUUUUUUCUAUAAAAACACAAAGUCUAUGAAAGUAACAAAACAUAAAAAACAAAAUAAAACUUUUGACAACGGAUCUCUUGGUUCUCCCAUCGAUGAAGAACGCAGC